rnacentral:rRNA from 2 species
ACUUCGUUCUCUCCCGAGUGGAUCCUGAGUACGGCGGGACACGAGGAAUCCCGCCGGAAUCCGGGAGGACCAUCUCCCAAGGCUAAAUACUCCCUAGUGACCGAUAGUGAACCAGUACCGUGAGGGAAAGGUGAAAAGCACCCCGGGAGGGGAGUGAAAGAGAUCCUGAAACCGUGUGCCUACAAGUAGUCAGAGCCCGUUAACGGGUGAUGGCGUGCCUUUUGUAGAAUGAACCGGCGAGUUACGGUCUCAUGCAAGGUUAAGCUGAAGAAGCGGAGCCGCAGCGAAAGCGAGUCUGAACAGGGCGAAAGAGUAUGAGGCCGCAGACCCGAAACCAGGUGAUCUACCCAUGUCCAGGGUGAAGGCAAGGUAACACUUGCUGGAGGCCCGAACCCACGCACGUUGAAAAGUGCGGGGAUGAGGUGUGGGUAGCGGAGAAAUUCCAAUCGAACUUGGAGAUAGCUGGUUCUCUCCGAAAUAGCUUUAGGGCUAGCCUCAAGCGAAGAGUUUUGGAGGUAGAGCACUGUUUGGACGAGGGGCCCUCAUCGGGUUACCGAAUUCAGACAAACUCCGAAUGCCAAAAACUUAUGCUUGGGAGUCAGACUGUGAGUGAUAAGAUCCAUGGUCGAAAGGGAAACAGCCCAGACCGCCAGCUAAGGUCCCAAAGUAUACGUUAAGUGGAAAAGGAUGUGGCGUUGCUUAGACAACCAGGAUGUUGGCUUAGAAGCAGCCAUCAUUCAAAGAGUGCGUAAUAGCUCACUGGUCGAGUGACGCUGCGCCGAAAAUGUACCGGGGCUAAACGUAUCACCGAAGCUGCGGAUGGACACCGUUUGGUGUCCGUGGUAGGAGAGCGUUCUAAGGGCGUUGAAGCCGGACCGGAAGGACCGGUGGAGCGCUUAGAAGUGAGAAUGCCGGUAUGAGUAGCGAAAGAAGGGUGAGAAUCCCUUCCACCGAAUGCCUAAGGUUUCCUGAGGAAGGCUCGUCCGCUCAGGGUUAGUCGGGGCCUAAGCCGAGGCCGAAAGGCGUAGGCGAUGGACAACAGGUUGAUAUUCCUGUACCGCCUCUUCACCGUUUGAACGAUGGGGGGACGCAGGAGGAUAGGGCAAGCGCGACACUGGUUGAUCGCGUCCAAGCAGUUAGGCCGGUGCGGAGGCAAAUCCUUCGCGCCAAGGCGGAGCUGUGAUGGCGAGGGAAAUUUUAGUACCGAAGUUCCUGAUUCCACACUGCCAAGAAAAGCCUCUAGUGAGGUGA